rnacentral:tRNA from 1 species
GCCACGCUAGCUCAGUUGGUAGAGCAACCGACUCUUAAUCGGUGGGUCCGGGGUUCGAUCCCCCGGCGCGGCA